rnacentral:rRNA from 1 species
UACGGGGGGGUAAGCGUUGUUCGGAAUUACUGGGCGUAAAGGGCUCGUAGGCGGCCAACUAAGUCGGACGUGAAAUCCCUCAGCUUAACUGGGGAACUGCGUCCGAUACUGGAUGGCUUGGAUUUGGGAGAGGGGUGCGGAAUUCCAGGUGUAGCGGUGAAAUGCGUAGAUAUCUGGAGGAACACCGGUGGCGAAGGCGGCAUCCUGGACCAAUAUUGACGCUGAGGAGCGAAAGCCAGGGGAGCAAACGGG